CCUACGGGAGGCAGCAGUGAGGAAUAUUGGUCAAUGGACGAGAGUCUGAACCAGCCAAGUAGCGUGAAGGAUGACUGCCCUAUGGGUUGUAAACUUCUUUUAUAUGGGAAUAAAAUGUUCCACGUGUGGGAUUUUGUAUGUACCAUAUGAAUAAGGAUCGGCUAACUCCGUGCCAGCAGCCGCGGUAAUACGGAGGAUCCGAGCGUUAUCCGGAUUUAUUGGGUUUAAAGGGAGCGUAGGUGGAUUGUUAAGUCAGUUGUGAAAGUUUGCGGCUCAACCGUAAAAUUGCAGUUGAAACUGGCAGUCUUGAGUAGAGUAGAGGUGGGCGGAAUUCGUGGUGUAGCGGUGAAAUGCUUAGCUAUCACGAAGAACUCCGAGUGCGAAGGCAGUUCACUGGACUGCAACUGACACUGAGGCUCGAAAGUGUGGGUAUCAAACAGGAUUAGAUACCCCUGUAGUC
rnacentral:rRNA from 1 species